rnacentral:rRNA from 1 species
GACGAACGCUGGCGGCGUGGAUUAGGCAUGCAAGUCGAACGGUAUCAUCCUUUCGGGGGUGAGAGAGUGGCGAACUGGUGAGUAACACGUAGGUUAUCUACCCUCAAGACGGGGACAACCCAGGGAAACUUGGGCUAAUACCGGAUGUGAGCAACUUUUAGUUGUUUGAAAGGUGGCGUAAGCUGUCGCUUGGGGAUGAGCCUGCGUCCUAUUAGUUAGUUGGUGAGGUAACGGCUCACCUAGGCAAUGAUAGGUAGGCGGCCUUAACGGGUGGUCGCCCACACUGGGAUUGAGAUACGGCCCAGACUCCUACGGGAGGCAGCAGUCGAGAAUAGUCUACAAUGGUCGGAAGACUGAUAGUGCGACGCCGCGUGAACGAUGAAUCCCUUCGGGUGUAAAGUUCUUUUAUAUGUGAGCAGUGCUUCUUAUAUUAACAGUAUGGGGAGAGAGAUAUUAGCAUAUGAAUAAGCAACGGCUAACUCCGUGCCAGCAGCCGCGGUAA